rnacentral:rRNA from 1 species
CCUACGGGGGGCAGCAGUGAGGAAUAUUGGUCAAUGGGCGCGAGCCUGAACCAGCCAAGUAGCGUGAAGGAUGACUGCCCUACGGGUUGUAAACUUCUUUUAUAAAGGAAUAAAGUGAGGCACGUGUGCCUUUUUGUAUGUACGUUAUGAAUAAGGAGAGGCUAACUCCGUGCCAGCAGCCGCGGUAAUACGGAGGAUCCGAGCGUUAUCCGGAUUUAUUGGGUUUAAAGGGAGCGUAGAUGGGUUGUUAAGUCAGUUGUGAAAGUUUGCGGCGCAACCGGCAAAUUGCAAUUGAUACUGGCAGCCUUGAGUACCGUUGCGGUCGGCGGACUUCGUGGUGUAGCGGUGACAUGCUUAGCUAUCACG